UACGUAGGGUGCGAGCGUUUGUCCGGAUUUAUUGGGCGUAAAGAGCUCGUAGGCGGUUCGCUAAGUCGGGUGUGAAACCUCCAGGCUCAACCUGGAGACGCCACCUGAUACUGGUGUGACUCGAGUCCGGUAGGGGAGCGUGGAAUUCCUGGUGUAGCGGUGAAAUGCGCAGAUAUCAGGAGGAACACCAAUGGCGAAGGCAGCACUCUGGGACGUGACUGGACGCUGAAGACGCGAAAGCGUGGGGAGCAAACAGG
rnacentral:rRNA from 1 species